CAACUUUCAGCAACGGAUCUCUUGGCUCUCGCAUCGAUGAAGAACGCAGCGAAAUGCGAUAAGUAAUGUGAAUUGCAGAAUUCAGUGAAUCAUCGAAUCUUUGAACGCACCUUGCGCUCCUUGGUAUUCCGAGGAGCAUGCCUGUUUGAGUGUCAUUUG
rnacentral:rRNA from 1 species